UUUUAUGGGGAAAUCCUGAUUUGUGUUCAUAGUACGGCCCCCGGAGGAUUUUAUGACCAUGGUAGGAAUUUGAAGUGGCCCCUCGAAUGAAAAAGGUUCCCCACCCCUGCAUUAAACAUUUCUACUAGCCACAGCUUUGCUGCCAGUACAUUUUAUUAUGAUACUAUAAGCUCAGAAAUUAAGUUGAUCAAACAAUUCGAUCUGUGCUAUAAACAUUUAAAUGAACCUACAGAAUAGGCCUAGGCUAUCAAAAUAGAAUCAUCUGAAUGAUCUUUCUUGGACAUACAUUUUGAAGUGACCCUUCGAAUUAAAAAGGUUCCUCAGCUGCUUUUGAGGAAAAACAUCAAUGUGCUUGGCCACUCUGGUUUUUAAAUGGUAUUCUGAACUAAAGCAAGGAUUGUUCAAGUUAGUUGAAAAUAGACCGUCUCUGGUUAAAUUAGUUCUACACCAAGCCUUUAGGUGGCAGUAAAACGAAUUGGCACAAUGCGAAUUCCACACACAAGCCACAAAGAAGCCAUCAGCCGCGGUCAACAGCACCUUCCUGAUUGAGCAGAACCACGCGUUGUCUGUGUGGUUUACAAGUUUCUUGGCGAUAUGGGGGGAAAGUUCCUCACAUACCAACGGAAAAUGGGCUUCAUAUACAUGCUGCUGUCUCAUAUGGCGAAGACGAGUCACCUGAAGGCCUAACUCGCCAUAGAAGACUGAAAGAAUUGUCCUGCAGGAUGCUGUGUCCUGCAAUCCUGUGUGCUGUGCUACAGACGCGUGUGGAGGUCAACCCAAAAUGGGCACAGUCUCACCACAGAAGAGUGAAAGAGGAUCCUGGCAGGGAGACGGUAGUGUCCUGCAGAAUGGUGAUGGGCCAAUCUUACAAGAGACCACAGAAAACUGAUAUAGUGAACUAUAGAAACAACAGUGCCUGCUGCAGUAUAACGAGGACACCCUGAGCAGAGAGCUCCAAUAGACCCAGGUCCAGUGUCUUGGCAGGGUGAAAUGGCACUGAUAUGGUGUCCUGCAGGAUGCUGUGUCCUGCAAUCCUGUGUGCUGUGCUACAGACGCGUGUGGAGGUCAACCCAAAAUGGGCACAGUCUCACCACAGAAGAGUGAAAGAGGCUCCCAGAAGUGAGACUGAGUGUCUGUUGCAGUAUGACGAGGACGCAGUGACCAGAGACCUUCAGUAGACCCUGCUGGCAUGAUUGGCGUCUGAAGAACAUGAAAUCAACAGCAAUGUUUAUAAUGUUGUACAUACCUGUAUAGUCUGUAUUAAAAGGCAGUACCUGUA